UAUUGUGGCUGGCUGUGACAUUCUUAAAUGAGAAGUAGACAGGCCUUGUAUAAGAUGCAUUAUACAGUUCUAAUCAAGUAAUUAUGGACAUGUGCAAUUACAGGGCAAGCCCUUUGGUGUGCUAAAUGAUUAAAUGUUGUUAUCUAACCGAAUCACUUGGAACUUCUGUGCAGAAGGUUAUUUUUCCCUUUAAACAAAUAAAUGUCAGCUCAUAACAUAUGACGAUGCUAUCCUAACUGGCUAACUAAUUUGGCUGUAUGAAGUUGUAUAUUUGAGCUGCGGGUGUUUGUUGUAGUGCAUGGAGUUUAUCGUGAUGGCCCUUUUGAGUCUCCCCUUUCUGUUCGAACUUCAACAGAAAACUAACCAAGAUUAUCAGGCAUGAUAUGGUCAGUGUAUUGUGAUGUUAGCAUGCCCCCUGAAGGACUGCGGGAGUUCUUGCCACGCUUAAUACAAACUUUGGUGUCAAACAUGGUCUACACUGACGAUGAUCAAUCACUUGUUGAUGCUGAGGUUUGAAGACGGGCUAGGUUCAAAGUUUUAAGAUGGGCUAGGUUUCACUAGCGUGUGCCAUCGACUUGGUCUCAACCAUCUUAGGGCAACCCGUCGCUCUAGGGAGAUGGCGGUCCCUUUGACGGCCUCCGGGCUCGGCUCAGUGAUUGGGAUCGGUCAUCGUUGCUGGCGGUGAAGGUGGUAUGGAGUUUUGACCAUGGAAGAGCCCGUACAACUCAGAAGGCAAAGUUGGGAAGCUCCUACAAAGAAGUAUCUGUGAUGAGGUAGCUAGCCUGAAAGUGGAUCUACCGCGUGCUGCUCCUGUCCCCUCUCCCUCAAUUCAUCCUCAUGGAUCUGACAAGUGAGCGACGGAGGCUGUGUAUCAUGAGGUCGUUCGGCAUGGAUAGGGCUCGUCAUGCGGCACCGUCCUCCCGACCUCCUUCCCAUCAUAGCCUUAUGGGAAUUGGCUUACAAAGUGAUUCUAUACUUUAAAUUAUACCCUUUCUUAAUAUAUGUGCUUGUCCAUUCAGGUUUAUCUUCGCUUGGAAUUGGUGGAAGCAAUUUUAUCCCCCAUUUUCUUUCUCUAUGUUCUGUUUUCUAAGCAACAUAAGUGGUAUCAAUAAUAUGUGAUACUUGUGCAUUUCUAUCUUUAGGCAGGACAUCCUUUUCACAACAAGAGAUGAAAAUGCUCCUAUUGUACCUUCGCU